rnacentral:rRNA from 1 species
CAGUAGCCACGGGAAUACGUAGGUGGCAAGCGUUGUCCGGAAUUAUUGGGCGUAAAGGGCUCGCAGGCGGUUUCUUAAGUCUGAUGUGAAAGCCACCGGCUCAACCGGGGAGGGUCAUUGGAAACUGGGAAACUUGAGUGCAGAAGAGGAGAGUGGAAUUCCACGUGUAGCGGUGAAAUGCGUAGAGAUGUGGAGGAACACCAGUGGCGAAGGCGACUCUCUGGUCUGUAACUGACGCUGAGGAGCGAAAGCGUGGGGAGCGAACAGGAUUAGAUACCCCAGUAGUCCCUGUCUCUUAUAC